rnacentral:rRNA from 1 species
GAUGAACGCUGGCUACAGGCUUAACACAUGCAAGUCGAGGGGAAACGGCAUUGAGUGCUUGCACUGAAUGGACGUCGACCGGCGCACGGGUGAGUAACGCGUAUCCAACCUUCCCGUUACUGCGGGAUAACCUGCCGAAAGGCAGACUAAUACCGCAUGUUCUUCGAUGACGGCAUCAGAUUCGAAGCAAAGAUCCGUCGGUAACGGAGGGGGAUGCGUCGGAUUAGCUUGUUGGCGGGGCGACGGCCCACCAAGGCGACGAUCAGUAGGGGUUCUGAGAGGAAGGUCCCCCACAUUGGAACUGAGACACGGUCCAAACUCCUACGGGAGGCAGCAGUGAGGAAUAUUGGUCAAUGGGCGGAAGCCUGAACCAGCCAAGUAGCGUGCAGGAGGACGGCCCUACGGGUUGUAAACUGCUUUUAUGCGGGGAUAAAGUGAGGGACGUGUCCCUUUUUGCAGGUAC